UGGGGAAUUUUGGACAAUGGGCGAAAGCCUGAUCCAGCAAUGCCGCGUGUGUGAAGAAGGCCUUCGGGUUGUAAAGCACUUUUGUCCGGAAAGAAAUCCUUGGCUCUAAUACAGCCGGGGAUGACGGUACCGGAAGAAUAAGCACCGGCUAACUACGUGCCAGCAGCCGCGGUAAUACGUAGGGUGCAAGCGUUAAUCGGAAUUACUGGGCGUAAAGCGUGCGCAGGCGGUUUGCUAAGACCGAUGUGAAAUCCCCGGGCUCAACCUGGGAACUGCAUUGGUGACUGGCAGGCUAGAGUAUGGCAGAGGGGGUAGAAUUCCACGUGUAGCAGUGAAAUGCGUAGAGAUGUGGAGGAAUACCGAUGGCGAAGGCAGCCCCCUGGGCCAAUACUGACGCUCAUGCACGAAAGCGUGGGGAGCAAACAGGAUUAGAUACCCUGGUAGUCCACGCCCUAAACGAUGUCAACUAGUUGUUGGGGAUUCAUUUCCUUAGUAACGUAGCUAACGCGUGAAGUUGACCGCCUGGGGAGUACGGUCGCAAGAUUAAAACUCAAAGGAA
rnacentral:rRNA from 1 species